rnacentral:rRNA from 1 species
ACAAGGUUUCCGUAGGUGAACCUGCGGAAGGAUCAUUGUUGAGCCCCUAAUAGAGAACAUGUGAAUCUGUAAAUGUGAUGCAUGAGCGGUGAGGUGUUGGUGCCCUUCCGUGAAUGCAUGCCCCGCCCUCUGUGGUGCUGCAUUUGUAGCACCUUUGUAGUGUGUGGGCUUAACAACAAACCCUGGUGCAGCUUCGCGCCAAGGAUUAAUCGGUUGAUGUUGGGAUGGCUCCUCGGAGUCAUUUCGGAUGUGCCUUCGGGGUUCAUGUAACCUGUUUUUAGACUUUGAUGACUCUCGGCAACGGAUAUCUAGGCCCUCGCAUCGAUGAAGAACGUAGCGAAAUGCGAUACUUGGUGUGAAUUGCAGAAUCCCGUGAACCAUCGAGUCUUUGAACGCAAGUUGCGCCCGGAGCCGUCAGGCCGAGGGCACGCCUGCUUGGGAGUCACUCCUCGUGGCAUCGUCGUGACCUUCUACAUGGGUCGCAUGGUGGAUGAUGGCCUUCCAUGGCCUUUUGGCUGUGGUGGGUUGAAGGAAGUGGAUGGAGUCUGUCCGGUCGAACUUUGAUCGCGCGGUUGUGUUGGUUUGUUAAUGAUACGUGCUAGGUUGCUCGUCGGAUGGGAGGUAUUGCUGCCGUGCGAAUCCUCGGUUGGUUGGACAAUGCGAUGAUCACCCCUUGAUGGCAGCUGGUCUUGGAUGACCAGCUCUUCUUGCGACCCCAAGUCAGGC